rnacentral:rRNA from 1 species
UACGUAGGGCGCAAGCGUUGUCCGGAAUUAUUGGGCGUAAAGAGCUCGUAGGUGGCUUUGUAAGUUAGAGGUGAAAGCCCGGGGCUCAACUCCGGAAUUGCCUUUAAGACUGCAUCGCUAGAAUUGUGGAGAGGUAAGUGGAAUUCCGAGUGUAGAGGUGAAAUUCGUAGAUAUUCGGAAGAACACCAGUGGCGAAGGCGACUUACUGGACACAUAUUGACGCUGAGGUGCGAAAGCGUGGGGAGCAAACAGG